GACGUAGGGCGCGAGCGUUGUCCGGAUUUAUUGGGCGUAAAGAGCUCGUAGGCGGCUUGUCGCGUCGAAUGUGAAAUCUCAGGGCUCAACUCUGACAUUGCAUUCGAUACGGGCAGGCUCGAGUUCGGUAGGGGAGACUGGAAUCUGGUGUAGCGGUGAAAUGCGCAGAUAUCAGGAGGAACACCGGUGGCGAAGGCGGGUCUCUGGGCCGAUACUGACGCUGAGGAGCGAAAGCGUGGGGAGCGAACAGG
rnacentral:rRNA from 1 species